CACAUCUUUCUUCUCUUCCCCAGGCCGAAGGGAAGAAUCCCUUUCUCCUCUCUUCUCCAGCCAGCCUACUCCCUCCUCCCUUCCUGCCCCACUCCUCCCUAGGUACGUCCUUAAUGCACCAUGCCCUUCACCACCUCCAUGGUUGCCCUUUGAUUUAGGGCUUUGAGGAAGAAGGAAAGGAGACAAGAAGAGGGAGAACAAGAAAGCUUCCCCAACUUUUCCCUUCACCAAAUCUUUAUGAUUUGACCAUAGAGGUGAGGUUCCCCAUCAUUUAUGACCUCUCAUCCUCUAUUAGUGAUGAUUCACGGAGUAUAGGGUUAGGACUUGAAACCUAUGUGAAGGAAUUGGGGAAAAAGUUGUUCGUGUUGCUGUUUCUGGGCGUUCAGAUAUGGAAACCAGCAAUUUCGAGUUCCUAUAUGCAAAAUUAGGUGGGCGUCAUGUGGAAUGUUUUGUAGGUAUUGUUCCCACUAUCGUUUUGACUGGUAAUUCACUCAAUUUGGUUCAGCCGUUUAGCCGGGGCGAUAAAAACAAGUUGCUGCUCUGUUUCUGCAAAACAGCAUUUCUAUGGUUUUUGCCCAUAGCUUUUCAGGAUCUUCGAGGGCUGAUAAAUUGAUGCUGUACAAUUGUAUAGCUACCUGAUACCUUUUAGUUCAUAGAUCAAUUUUAUUUACUUACUCCCCAUGAGUAUUGGUUUUGCUAUGGAUUUCCAAAGGCGGCUACUCAUUAUUCCUGAAUCUGAAAACAGCAGAGAUGUUGGCCUGAAAGCCGCAGUGACUUGGUGCUGCCUGGUGGCCAUGGCCGUGUGGGCGGCGUGGUAGCCAGGGUGUGGCGUUCGGUGGCGGUGAAUAUUGGUCGGGGUGAAAACCUAUUCUAUCUUCGGAUUCACCGGCGACGGCGAAGCUCGUUCCCUUCUUGAAGGCGUCGCCGCGACUCUCGCUGCCCAUCGUGUUGCUCCGGGGGAAACUCUGAUCCUUGGGUCAGGCGGUGGCGGCGCUUCGGUGUCGUAACCUUCCUGUAGGCACCGCCUUGGAGCCCACGGUGCCUCGUAUGUAGCUUCUUCUCUAGGCGGUGGCGUGUUCACGGUUGAGGCCCCAAGGGCUCUUGUAGUGCUAGGGGUGGUGUUGCUACGCUCAGCACCUAUGUAUCAUGCCUUGGGUAUGUGUGUGUGUUGUGGUGGCAUGUGUUGUACUGGGUUGUUGGUGAUCUUUGCUUUAUAUAUAAAGCGGGGCGAAAGCCUUUUUCGGUAAACAACAGAGAUGUUUUUGCUGGUUUUGACCCCCAUAACCACAUAAUCUGAGGUUUGAAUAGUUGGAGUUAUUUGUAGAUGAGUUCCCCAUGAAUCCAUAGCCAUCUCGUUUGCAUGUUUUAGAGCUUCCUAGCUUGAGCUAUGGUUUUUUCCUUGAAGGGACAGCAAAGGGUUGCUUCCCGGGAAUGCAAUUAGGUGCGUUUUUGUGUGUGCUUUGCAUAGCUUGCUUUGAUGCAAUCUUUAAAACUUGUAUGUAUGUCUCUACAGCAGGUUGCAGCACCAAUCCACCGGAGAUAGCCUCGCGCCACCUCCCUCGCAACGGUUGAGGCGAGUACACCGGGCAACAAGACCUAGAUUGCUCCCUUAAUAUUAUGUUCAUGUUCACGUUAUUCCUUUACAUUCAUGCAAUGGUGAACAUAGAAUUCCCUAGUGUACAUUUCAAUACACCAUACCACUGGUAUGUGAUAGGGAUUGGUUUUU
rnacentral:lncRNA from 1 species